rnacentral:rRNA from 1 species
UACGGGGGGGGCAAGCGUUGUUCGGAAUUACUGGGCGUAAAGGGUUCGUAGGUGGCCAACUAAGUCAGACGUGAAAUCCCUCAGCUCAACUGGGGAACUGCGUCUGAUACUGGCAGGCUUGAAUCCGGGAGAGGGAUGCGGAAUUCCAGGUGUAGCGGUGAAAUGCGUAGAUAUCUGGAGGAACACCGGUGGCGAAGGCGGCAUCCUGGACCGGCAUUGACGCUGAGGCGCGAAAGCCAGGGGAGCAAACGGG